UUCUGGAAUGUUCCCUCCCUUCCCUUCAAAGUAUUGCCAUUGCUGGUGUCUGUGCCGCUAACAUGGGGGUGCAGUCAGUGUGCAAUAGGAUUCAGGUCACACUUGGCAUAGUUAUACAUUUGUUUUGUGAUCUUCUUCCAUGUUUCUAUAGAAUCACAAGUAAAUAAUCAAAUAUAUCAUGAAGAUAUACUAAUGGCAAGCAAAGUCAAAAUAUCAGCAAGGAAGGAAUGUUUCAUGCCUGGAGGAAGACACAUUGUGAAGGAGUAUUGCUGUGAGCAGCAGGUGAGGUUGAACUUCUUCACUGGAGAACAAGCUUUAGGAGCAGAAAGAACAUAGAUAAAUUCAGAGUGAAAGUAAGAACACUUAACUACUGAUAAAAGAAGUCCCAAGAUUUUUCUUAAGAAAGGAUACUGUCUUUGGAAGAUCUACUUUUUAGAAAGAUACAAGGGGAUGCAGGAGAUGCUUAGUGUUUUUUAAUUCAUAUUUUAAGAAACAAAACAGAACUGUGGUAUCUUUACCUCCUCCGAGGAGACCUACUCCGCCUUCUUGGUGAUCGGCUACGUCUAAGAGGUGACCGAGACCUCC